AUGAGCACGUCCUAGAAAGCAGGUAUUAGCCAUUUCUGCUGGGGAGGCAAUGAAGGCAUUUGCAGCUGAAAUCGGCUUUCCUGGCUGCCCUAAUAAAGCAGAGACUUUCAAAGCCCCAUUAGCAGUGUGCUGACUGCAGCUUUACAUCUGGACUAGCCCAGUUCAGGAGGGGAGUGCUGGACACUCGUAUCCUCAACCCCAAGGAGCAAACUACCUCUGACCAAAGCCAGCUUCUUUUUCGUCGAUAGACUGUGGGCAUCAUAGGAGAGAAACCCUGUCUCCCUAUCCUUGGGGACUAGCUUGGUGCCUGGCACAAAAUAGACUCCAAAUAAAUGUUAGUGAAAUUGAUAAACGAGUUUGGAGGGGGAUCAGCUAUUAAAAGGAGAUGGAGCACCACAUUAUGGACAGCUCCAGGCCCUUGUGCCAGACGUGGAGAGAGGGACGUCCUCGCAGGGAGCUGCUGCCACCACUGCCAGAGACCUGGGGGACGCAGGCAGGGCUUCGCUGAAAGAACGGGGGCUGGCCACUGCUUCUCCCUGAGUUGAAGGAGACGAGGUUUUGCCAUGUUCCCCAGGCUAGUCUUGAACUCCUGGACGCAAGUGAUCUGCUGGCCUUGGCCUCCCAAUGUGCUGCAAUUACAUGCUUGAGCCACCACCCCUGUCCCAGACUUCUCUUUUGAAGUUAUAUUUCAAUGGGUGUGGGUGUGGGGUGUGUGGCAGUGAGUGGGGGGACAGACCCUCAGUUGCAUUUGUGGAAGUUUGGGGCCAGCUUCAAGAUUCAGAGAACCAUAGCCAUUUUGGUUGUAGAGAAACGACAGUGCUCAGAGAAUCAGAUUGCUGCAGAGUAAAUAAACGUGAUGUUAACACCA